rnacentral:misc_RNA from 1 species
CUCCUGUGGUAGACUCCUAGCAACCUUACAAAUUAAAUUAUCGGUAAAGUGUUUUCUUGCAACUGCAUUGCCAAGGAGCCUAUGCUGAAAAUAAAUAAUUUCUCCUUCCACUUCAUCUGCUGGAGAUAGUUUGCAAACUUCCAUGUUCUCAGCCUUAACCAGCUGCUCUGGAUUUACUUCAUCAGAUUUGUACAGGUCAUUGCACAUUGAA